UGGAAUUGCAGAUGACAAAAAGGAAUUUCUUAGACAACGUUUAAUAGUAAACUUUGAAGAACCUGUAAAUCAGUUAGCUAUCCAAUUGGCAGCUCUCAUUGCUAAAAUUGCAAGAUAUGAUUGGCCUAGAGAAUGGCGCUCAUUAAUUCCAACCUUAUUGGAUGUUAUAAGAGAACAAAAUCCUUUGGCCCAGCAUCGGGCACUGUUAAUAUUACAUCAUGUUGUUAAGUGUUUAGCCUCUAAACGUUUAGUUCCUGGCAGACGACUCU
rnacentral:misc_RNA from 1 species